GGUAAAGGCCUACCAAGGCGACGAUNNNNNNCGGGUCUGAGAGGAUGANNNGCCACACUGGGACUGAGACACGGCCCAGAUUCCUACGGGAGGCAGCAGUGGGGAAUAUUGGACAAUGGGGGGAACCCUGAUCCAGCCAUGCCGCGUGUGUGAAGAAGGCCUUUUGGUUGUAAAGCACUUUAAGCGAGGAGGAGGCUACUAGUACUAAUACUACUGGAUAGUGGACGUUACUCGCAGAAUAAGCACCGGCUAACUCUGUGCCAGCAGCCGCGGUAAUACAGAGGGUGCGAGCGUUAAUCGGAUUUACUGGGCGUAAAGCGUGCGUAGGCGGCUGAUUAAGUCGGAUGUGAAAUCCCUGAGCUUAACUUAGGAAUUGCAUUCGAUACUGGUCAGCUAGAGUAUGGGAGAGGAUGGUAGAAUUCCAGGUGUAGCGGUGAAAUGCGUAGAGAUCUGGAGGAAUACCGAUGGCGAAGGCAGCCAUCUGGCCUAAUACUGACGCUGAGGUACGAAAGCAUGGGGAGCAAACAGGAUUAGAUACCCUGGUAGUCCAUGCCGUAAACGAUGUCUACUAGCCGUUGGGGCCUUUGAGGCUUUAGUGGCGCAGCUAACGCGAUAAGUAGACCGCCUGGGGAGUACGGUCGCAAGACUAAAACUCAAAUGAAUUGACGGGGGCCCGCACAAGCGGUGGAGCAUGUGGUUUAAUUCGAUGCAACGCGAAGAACCUUACCUGGUCUUGACAUAGUAAGAACUUUCCAGAGAUGGAUUGGUGCCUUCGGGAACUUACAUACAGGUGCUGCAUGGCUGUCGUCAGCUCGUGUCGUGAGAUGUUGGGUUAAGUCCCGCAACGAGCGCAACCCUUUUCCUUAUUUGCCAGCACUUCGGGUGGGAACUUUAAGGAUACUGCCAGUGACAAACUGGAGGAAGGCGGGGACGACGUCAAGUCAUCAUGGCCCUUACGACCAGGGCUACACACGUGCUACAAUGGUCGGUACAAAGGGUUGCUACCUAGCGAUAGGAUGCUAAUCUCAAAAAGCCGAUCGUAGUCCGGAUUGGAGUCUGCAACUCGACUCCAUGAAGUCGGAAUCGCUAGUAAUCGCGA
rnacentral:rRNA from 1 species